rnacentral:snoRNA from 1 species
CCGUGAUGUCAUGUUUUGUGUCCUUCCCCUGACCGAUGAUGUUGCUCUUUCUGCAGCUGAUC